UNGCUAACGCAUUAAGCACCCCGCCUGGGGAGUACGGCCGCAAGGCUAAAACUCAAAGGAAUUGACGGGGGCCCGCACAAGCGGUGGAGCAUGUGGUUCANUUCGACGCAACGCGCAGAACCUUACCUGGGCUAGAAAAUGCAGGAACCUGGUUGANAAAUCGGGGUGCUCUUCGGAGAACCUGUAGUUAGGUGCUGCAUGGCUGUCGUCAGCUCGUGUCGNGAGAUGUUGGGUUAAGUCCCGCAACGAGCGCANCCCUUGU
rnacentral:rRNA from 1 species